rnacentral:rRNA from 1 species
AUUGAACGCUGGCGGCAUGUUUUACACAUGCAAGUCGAACGGUAACAGCACUUCGGUGGCUGACGAGUGGCGAACGGGUGAGUAAUACAUCGGAACGUGCCUAGUAGUGGGGGAUAACUACUCGAAAGAGUAGCUAAUACCGCAUGAGAUCUAAGGAUGAAAGCAGGGGACCUUCGGGCCUUGCGCUACUAGAGCGGCUGAUGGCAGAUUAGGUAGUUGGUGGGAUAAAAGCUUACCAAGCCGACGAUCUGUAGCUGGUCUGAGAGGACGACCAGCCACACUGGGACUGAGACACGGCCCAGACUCCUACGGGAGGCAGCAGUGGGGAAUUUUGGACAAUGGGCGCAAGCCUGAUCCAGCAAUGCCGCGUGCAGGAUGAAGGCCUUCGGGUUGUAAACUGCUUUUGUACGGAACGAAAAGCCCUCUUCUAAUACAGGAGGGUCAUGACGGUACCGUAAGAAUAAGCACCGGCUAACUACGUG